rnacentral:rRNA from 1 species
GACGAACGCUGGCGGCGUGCCUAAUACAUGCAAGUUGAGCGGAUGAAGGAGGAGCUUGCUCCUCCUGAUUCAGCGGCGGACGGGUGAGUAACACGUGGGCAACCUGCCCUGUAGAUUGGGAUAACUCCGGGAAACCGGGGCUAAUACCGAAUAAUCCACCGGACCUCAUGGUCUGGUGUUGAAGGACGGCAUCUCGCUGUCACUACAGGAUGGGCCCGCGGCGCAUUAGCUAGUUGGUGAGGUAACGGCUCACCAAGGCCACGAUGCGUAGCCGACCUGAGAGGGUGAUCGGCCACACUGGGACUGAGACACGGCCCAGACUCCUACGGGAGGCAGCAGUAGGGAAUCUUCCACAAUGGACGAAAGUCUGAUGGAGCAACGCCGCGUGAGUGAAGAAGGUUCUCGGAUCGUAAAACUCUGUUGUGAGGGAAGAACAAGUACCGGAGUAACUGCCGGUACCUUGACGGUACCUCAUUAGAAAGCCACGGCUAACUACGUGCCAGCAGCCGCGGUAA